UGCCUCAGUAACGGCGAGUGAAGCGGCAAGAGCUCAAAUUUGAAAGCUGGCCCCUUCGGGGUCCGCGUUGUAAUUUGCAGAGGAUGCUUCGGGUGCAGCCCCCGUCUAAGUGCCCUGGAACGGGCCGUCAUAGAGGGUGAGAAUCCCGUCUGGGACGGGGUGUCUGCGUCCGUGUGAAGCUCCUUCGACGAGUCGAGUUGUUUGGGAAUGCAGCUCUAAAUGGGUGGUAAAUUUCAUCUAAAGCUAAAUACUGGCCGGAGACCGAUAGCGCACAAGUAGAGUGAUCGAAAGAUGAAAAGCACUUUGAAAAGAGAGUUAAACAAGCACGUGAAAUUGUUGAAAGGGAAGCGUUUGCGACCAGACUCGCCCGCGGGGUUCAGCCGGCAUUCGUGCCGGUGUACUU
rnacentral:rRNA from 1 species